rnacentral:rRNA from 1 species
CCUACGGGUGGCAGCAGUGGGGGAUAUUGCACAAUGGGGGGAACCCUGAUGCAGCGACGCCGCGUGGGUGAAGAAGCGCCUCGGCGCGUAAAGCCCUGUCAGCAGGGAAGAAAAUGACGGUACCUGAAGAAGAAGCCCCGGCUAACGACGUGCCAGCAGCCGCGGUAAUACGUAGGGGGCAAGCGUUAUCCGGAGUUACUGGGUGUAAGGGGGGCGCAGACGGCGGUGCAAGCCAGGAGUGAAAGCCCGGGGCACAACCCCGGGACUGCUCUUGGAACUGCGUGGCUGGAGUGCAGGAGGGGCAGGCGGAAUUCCUGGUGUAGCGGUGAAAUGCGUAGAUAUCAGGAGGAACACCGGUGGCGAAGGCGGCCUGCUGGACUGCAACUGACGUUGAGGCCCGAAAGCGUGGGGAGCAAACAGGAUUAGAUACCCCUGUAGUC